UAUUCUGCAUAUACUUUGCUAAUUUUCUUUUGUUGUGUUAUCUUGUGUUCUUUUUAGAUUUAUUACUUACACUAUGCUGCUAUAUUAUUUGCCUGGAGCAGUUAUGGUUCGGUUUUGUGAUAUAUCCUUCUGCUACUCUGUUGUUUAUGCUUAGACCCUGAGGUCUGGUGUUGAUAUUUGCUUAGAUGAUUGAAUUGUUGGCUAACUUAUAUACUGCUGAGAAUGUGAAUUCACACAAAUAUUUUGGUUUACUUCUAAGUUAUAACUAUAUUGGAGCUUAUGUUGGUUUAUAGGCAAAAGUGUAGGAAUCUUUCUUCAUUGUGAUAGAGAGUUAUGUCAGUUUACUCUUAUUAGGUCAAUUGUAUAUGCACACGACACAGGUUUGAGUGCAUGAUGCACAUCAUUAGGUUACCAAUUCAUUGGAGGAAAAGGUGGUUGGAGAUUAAGCUUGGAUGGGCAUCACACAAUCUUGGUACCGGUACUAGGAGAGGAUGAAAGAUGCGAGAUUGAUGUUUUGAUGGGCUCACUAAAGUCAAAACCAAGGACUUCGGCAUAUUUUUCUCUCUCUCUUUGGUUAAUAUUCUCUAUAUAUAAAAUUGAUUGUAAUAAACUUUGUUGGUUAAGAUUUUCUAUAUGAAAUUGAUUGUAAUAGACUUUGUGACUAGAAAUGGAUUAUACUUUAUAUUAGGAAUAUCAUGACAUUUACUUUA